AAUCCAUAGGUUAAUGAGGCGAACCGGGGGAACUGAAACAUCUAAGUACCCCGAGGAAAAGAAAUCAACCGAGAUUCCCCCAGUAGCGGCGAGCGAACGGGGAGGAGCCCAGAGCCUGAAUCAGCAUGUGUGUUAGUGGAAGCGUCUGGAAAGGCGCGCGAUACAGGGUGACAGCCCCGUACACAAAAGCGCAUGUGCUGUGAGCUCGAUGAGUAGGGCGGGACACGUGGUAUCCUGUCUGAAUAUGGGGGGACCAUCCUCCAAGGCUAAAUACUCCUGACUGACCGAUAGUGAACCAGUACCGUGAGGGAAAGGCGAAAAGAACCCCGGCGAGGGGAGUGAAAAAGAACCUGAAACCGUGUACGUACAAGCAGUGGGAGCACC
rnacentral:rRNA from 3 species